UUCCAGACUCCUACGGGAGGCAGCAGUGGGGAAUAUUGCACAAUGGGGGAAACCCUGAUGCAGCGACGCCGCGUGAGCGAUGAAGUAUUUCGGUAUGUAAAGCUCUAUCAGCAGGGAAGAAGAUGACGGUACCUGACUAAGAAGCCCCGGCUAACUACGUGCCAGCAGCCGCGGUAAUACGUAGGGGGCAAGCGUUAUCCGGAUUUACUGGGUGUAAAGGGAGCGUAGACGGCGAUGCAAGCCAGAUGUGAAAGCCCGGGGCUCAACCCCGGGACUGCAUUUGGAACUGUGUGGCUGGAGUGUCGGAGAGGCAGGCGGAAUUCCUAGUGUAGCGGUGAAAUGCGUAGAUAUUAGGAGGAACACCAGUGGCGAAGGCGGCCUGCUGGACGGUGUACUGACGCUGAGGCUCGAAAGCGUGGGGAGCAAACAGGAUUAGAUACCCGAGUACC
rnacentral:rRNA from 1 species